CAAGGGGGAAAGAUUUAUCGCCGAAAGAUCGGCCCGCGUUAGAUUAGCUUGUUGGUGAGGUAAUGGCUCACCAAGGCGACGAUCUAUAGCUGGUUUGAGAGGAUGACCAGCCACACUGGGACUGAGACACGGCCCACACUCCUACGGGAGGCAGCAGUGGGGAAUCUUGGACAAUGGACGCAAGUCUGAUCCAGCCAUGCCGCGUGAGUGAUGAAGGCCUUAGGGUUGUAAAACUCUUUCAGCAGGGAAGAUAAUGACUGUACCUGCAGAAGAAGCCCCGGCUAACUCCGUGCCAGCAGCCGCGGUAAUACGGAGGGGGCUAGCGUUGUUCGGAAUUACUGGGCGUAAAGCGCGCGUAGGCGGCUUGCCAAGUUGGGGGUGAAAGCCCGGGGCUCAACCUCGGAACUGCCCUCAAAACUGGCGAGCUAAAGAUCUGGAGAGGUGAGUGGAAUUCCUAGUGUAGAGGUGAAAUUCGUAGAUAUUAGGAAGAACACCAGUGGCGAAUGCGGCUCACUGGCCAGAUACUGACGC
rnacentral:rRNA from 1 species